UACGGGGGGGGCAAGCGUUGUUCGGAAUUACUGGGCGUAAAGGGCUCGUAGGUGGCCAACUAAGUCAGACGUGAAAUCCCUCGGCUUAACCGGGGAACUGCGUCUGAUACUGGAUGGCUUGAGUUUGGGAGAGGGAUGCGGAAUUCCAGGUGUAGCGGUGAAAUGCGUAGAUAUCUGGAGGAACACCGGUGGCGGAAGGCGGCAUCCUGGACCAACACUGACGCUGAGUGAGCGAAAGCCAGGGGAGCAAAACGGGG
rnacentral:rRNA from 1 species